UGUGUGUGUAUUCGGGUAUUUCUUUGUUCCACUCAGAUAAUAUCUUAACUUUUGUACAAUUUAGCUUGCCGGCUUGACUUUUUUAAUUGUAUCAAUGAACUGGUAGGGUCUUUCAAAGCCCCCAUCUCCUUUGGAUGAUGUAAGAGAGGUGAAGGAGAAGGCAUAUUUUCCAUUCAAUAUUCUUACAUGAAAAAUAAAUCAUGCUGCAUCAUUAUUUUUUUUUCUAGAUUUUGCGCCUUCAGCUCAUAAUAUUACUGUCUCAGAAAAUUUCACUCAUCAAGGAGGCAUGGCCGAUGAAAGCAACGAUAUUCUGCAGGGACAUCCUGAUGCCUUCAUGAAUACGGCUACCGUGGAACCUGCAGCACCUCAGGUACACGGCAUAGAUUUCGGAUUCCAUAUUCAACAGGGUCCUCCGUUGCCCGGAAAUUGGAACAAUAAACGGAAACUUGAAGUCUUCGAUGAAUCUGAUGGAACGAGCUGGUCGAUUGAAAAUGAGACGGUAAUUAGAAUCGUAAAAAUGUUCAAAUCUGCCCCAGGUCAAAGCACGCAUGAAAUUCGUCAGUCACAUGCUGCAUCAGGCACUGAAGGCAAUCAAUCUACUAUGCAAUUCCCACCACAUCCAUCUGGCGCAGCAGGUAUUUCAAAUGAGAGGGCCACGCACCAAGACAUAAACCAAUCGAAUGUGCGUACCAGCGAGCAAUUCUCCACAGCCGGUGAAAGUUCAACUGACCACAAUCAGAUAUCAAUUGAUGAUUAUGUUAUUGACCUAGAGCCUUUUCCUAACC